rnacentral:lncRNA from 1 species
CUACAGACAACCAGGUCCUGGUUACCUUCAAGGCAUCCAAAAGAGCAGAAGUUACUCGGAGCCAGUCACUGCUUUGGUACUUCAGGGAGGAGAAGUUAGAGAUCCAAGUGUGGCGAGCUUAUGGCAACGAUAACUUAGAGAGGCCGCACCAGACCGACAGCUGGAUUGGCUCAGCCUAUGUAGACCUGUCCAGACUUGGGGAAAAAUCAACAAGGACACUAACUGUCAGUGGUGAGUGAAGAUUCAGGUUUAACUAAGCACCUUCUCUGUACAUAAAUUCAUCUGAUUUGUACGUGUAAUCUGGUACCUAAACUAUUAUAGCACUUAGUUAACGUGUACAGGAUGGGGUCGAGUGAGUCUCCCCGACUAACUGUAAUAGGUAUGUCAGAGCCUGGGUGGUCAUGGACGGUGACGGUUUAUUUGCUGCAUUGAAGAGCACCUUCAAGGAUAUUCUCUUCCCUGGGUAUUUCUCAGGACAGUCGUCUUUUUUGGUGAGCACCUCUUAGAGCUGGUAAAAUGACAGCACAUCAUCCUGUGAUCCCUAAUGGGGAAAGAGUUUCCAUCACUGCCUUCAAGAGAAAACACACAGCCUCUCUGCAUCUCAGAUCCCCCACUUCCCUGACCCAGUACUGAAAUAAAGAAAAUAUACAUGCU